UACGAAGGGAGCGAGCGUUGUUCGGAAUCACUGGGCUUAAAGCGUACGUAGGCGGCUAUACAAGUCAGGAGUGAAAUCCCAGGGCUUAACCCUGGAAUGCCUUUUGAAACUGUAUAGCUCGUGUCCCGGAGAGGUUGACGGAAUUCCGAGUGUAGAGGUGAAAUUCGCAGAUAUUCGGAGGAACACCAGUGGCGAAGGCGGUCAACUGGACGGGUACAGACGCUGAAGUACGAAAGCGUGGGGAGCAAACAGG
rnacentral:rRNA from 1 species